UCCUACGGGAGGCAGCAGUAGGGAAUCUUCCGCAAUGGACGAAAGUCUGACGGAGCAACGCCGCGUGAGUGAUGAAGGCUUUCGGGUCGUAAAACUCUGUUGUUAGGGAAGAACAAGUGCUAGUUGAAUAAGCUGGCACCUUGACGGUACCUAACCAGAAAGCCACGGCUAACUACGUGCCAGCAGCCGCGGUAAUACGUAGGUGGCAAGCGUUAUCCGGAAUUAUUGGGCGUAAAGCGCGCGCAGGUGGUUUCUUAAGUCUGAUGUGAAAGCCCACGGCUCAGCCGUGGAGGGUCAUUGGAAACUGGGAGACUUGAGUGCAGAAGAGGAAAGUGGAAUUCCAUGUGUAGCGGUGAAAUGCGUAGAGAUAUGGAGGAACACCAGUGGCGAAGGCGACUUUCUGGUCUGUAACUGACACUGAGGCGCGAAAGCGUGGGGAGCAAACAGGAUUAGAUACCCUGGUAGUCCACGCCGUAAACGAUGAGUGCUAAGUGUUAGAGGGUUUCCGCCCUUUAGUGCUGAAGUUAACGCAUUAAGCACUCCGCCUGGGGAGUACGGCCGCAAGGCUGAAACUCAAAGGAA
rnacentral:rRNA from 1 species